CUGCGCAGGUGUGUGGUUUUCUUACCUAUGGAGGUGUGUUGACUGUUGUUACCUGCGCAGGUGUGUGGUGUUGUUACCUGAGGAGGUGUGCAGGAAUGUUAACAUCCAGCAGCACACAGCGGCUCUCCACAUGCGUGUAGCCGGGCUGCACAUGGCGUCUCUCGCCUGUUGACAGUACAAUGCUCCUCGCAGAACUAUUUUGGCGGCUAAAAAGUCUCUCUCGUCUCUCACUCAACCAUCGCAACUGGCUCCGGUCCAGCUGCUCCACGGUCGACGAGCCGUGCACGUCAGCGACAGGUUGCCAUUGUUUAAUCCGCUCGUCGGUGCUUCUGCUUCAGCCAUGCCGGCAGAAGACGACCCGCUGCGUGGACUCGACGUUCGGCCUCAGCAGUCGUUGGUUGGCUUACACGCUGGGAAGAAGAGAAGGAGAUACAGAGCAGGAAAAUCCUAAACUCUUCCAAACUCAACCGUCCUCGCUAUUUUGGCUCAUUGUCGCAGUUCAGAGGCUCCGCCCCCACAAGCUGUUGCGCUCGGCCAGCGGCACGAUGCUGACCCCUGGUGGUGGACUCAAUCCAAGCGUAAACGCGAACCACAAGAUGGGUUCGAAAAGCUUAAUUGUCAUGCCUUAAACGUCGGGUCGCGGGGGCAGCAGCCUAAGCAGGGAAGCCCAAACUUCCCUCUACCCAGCCACUUCGUCUAACUCUUCCCGGGGGGUCCUGGGGCGUUCCCAGGCCAGCCGGGAGACAUAGUCUUCCCAACGUGUCCUGGGUCUUCCCCGUGGCCUCCUACCGGUUGGACGUGCCCUAAACACCUCCGUAGAGGCGUUCGGGUGGCAUCCCGACCAGAUGCCCAAGCCACCUCAUCUGGCUCCUCUCGAUGUGGAGGAGCAGCGGCUUUACUUUGAGCUCCUCUCGGAUGUCAGAGCUUCUAACCCUAUCUCAGAGGAGAACAAACUACAACCAAAACAAAAACAGUUGCAUGAACAAAAUAACUUCCUCAUUAGACGGUGUAAAACAAGGCAACUCUUACUGAGACAUUGACUGACCUGCCUCAUUGUCAUUUUAAUUGCAGGAGAACGAACUACAAACAAAAACAGUUGCCUCCACAAAUAAAAAAAACAUGCUACUCUUCCUCAUUGAGAGUGCAUCUUUCCUACACCAGGCCUGCUCAGGAGGUCGGAGGCCAUCUGUCUUAUCAUGUUGAGGGGCAGGGGACAGAGGGCACUUUGGUACGUGUUCCACAGCUCCUCCAGAGCCCCCACAAUCCUCUGCCUUCCCACGUCUGGGUGGAAGUGGGUCAGCUCUGCCAUCAGGGUGUCGAACGUGUUCAUGGUCCCGUAGCGCUGGGGCACAAAGGUUCCACCUGG